UACAGAGGUCCCAAGCGUUGUUCGGAUUCACUGGGCUUAAAGCGUGUGUAGGCGGACGCCUAAGUGUCUUGUGAAAUCCCACGGCUCACCCGUGGAACUGCUGGGCAUACUGGGCGUCUUGGGCCAACUAGGGGCAGCCGGAACAAGCGGUGGAGCGGUGAAAUGCGUAGAUAUCGCUUGGAACGCCGAAGGUGAAAACAGGCUGCUGGGGUUGCGCCGACGCUGAGACACGAAAGCCAGGGGAGCAAACGGG
rnacentral:rRNA from 1 species